rnacentral:tRNA from 1 species
UCCCUGGUGGCUCAGAGGUUAAAGCAUCUGCCUGGAAUGCAGGAGAUCCGGGUUCGAUCCCUGGGUUGGGAA